AUGGGAAGAGCUCCUUGUUGUGAUAAGGCCAACGUGAAAAAAGGGCCAUGGUCACCUGAAGAAGAUGCAAAGCUGAAAGAGUAUAUAGAUAAAUAUGGGACUGGAGGGAAUUGGAUUGCUCUUCCACAGAAAGCAGGUAAGAGUUUUCUUUUUUCUUUUCCUUUUAGUAUAUUUAUUUUUUGUGUAAAAAAGAAAAAGAAAGCUGGUAUGAGUAUGACAAUUCCCAGAGAAAUUACAACCUCUUCUUUAUAAUGCUUUAAAUAUGUAGGGUUUCUUUCUGUUUGUCUUUUUUUUUUUUGGGUGUCACUUAUUUUUAUAUUUAUGGUCAUCUUCAAUAAUUGUUUGGUUCUCAUCCACCAGGUCUUAAGAGAUGUGGAAAAAGCUGCAGAUUAAGAUGGCUUAACUAUCUCAGACCCAACAUUAAACAUGGUGAAUUCACUGAAAAUGAAGAUAGGAUAAUAUGCAGCCUCUUUGCUAACAUUGGAAGCAGGUAAUAAUCAUCUUUCUUUUCUAAUUUUUCUUCUUUUCUACUUUCACAAUUUUCUAUUUUUAAUACAUAUUUUAGUCUUUUUUCACAAUGUUUCAUCUGGGUCAGAUUACUUUUUCCUUUAUAAUUACUGUUUUGUGAAUUCAUCAAAAGCAAUAAAUGAAAGUACAAAUUUUCUCUCUUUUUGAGAACUUAAGGAAAAAGUUACUUGUUCGAAGAAUAUGCUAUAUAAAAAGUAUUAUAUUCCUGUUUUCUGUCUUCUUCUUUUUUUUUUGGGCUGAAUUACUCUGCAUGCAUGUGAAGUUUAGAUCUUCCAUGGGUACUUGAUUAGAGCUUGAAAAAGAAGCUCAGUUUUGUUUCUUCUUCUAGGACUUAUUCAAACUAACUGACCCAACAAAGUGCAGGUGGUCAAUAAUAGCAGCUCAGUUGCCAGGCAGGACAGACAAUGACAUUAAGAACUAUUGGAACACCAAGCUUAAGAAGAAACUCAUGGGUAUAUUUCCUUCAUCUCAGAGAAAGGCUCACCAAGCAGCCACUCUCUCUUCACUUCUUCAAACUUCUUCAUCAUCAUCAAUAUCACCAACAUCAUCAUACAAAGGCUACAACUCAGCAAGUUCUUUCACAGAUCUUGAAUUUGCAACAAGUCUUUUAAGCAGUAAUAAUUGUUGUACUAAUGCAGCAGCAGCAGGUCCAGUUCUUCAAGCCCAAGAAAGCUUUGUGGGUCCACCACAAAAUUACCAAAUAAAAGAUAAUCUGCUCAUGUUUGGAAGUGAAGCUAGUUGCAGCUCUUCUGAUGGAAGUUCAAACAACCUGAUCAACCAUGGAAAUGGGGAAAGAGAGUAUGAAUAUGGUGGAAAUUAUGGUGAAGUACAAAUGGGUGGUCUGCAGCAGAGUUUUCUUUACAAUGGGAACAUUGAUGGAAACCAAAGGUUCAUGAUUUCCAAUGGUGAUGGUGAUGUGAAUGGUAAUUGGAUUCAAAAGCAAAAUGGUAUGUGGAGUGAUCCCCCAUUAGACUAUGGGCUUGAGGAAAUUAAGCAGUUAAUCAGCACUAGUAAUUGCAACAACUUCUUGUUUGAUGAAAACAAGACAGAUCAGGAAAAGCAGAUGAUGUACUAUUGAUGCUGACUGUAGGUGAAAUCAAAAAAGAUUUGAAGGGAAAGGAAGGGAUGGGCUGA
rnacentral:sRNA from 1 species